UCCUGUUGAUCCUGCAGGAGGUUGCUGCUAUCGGGAUUCGACUAAGCCAUGCAAGUCUAGGGGGCCUUCGGGUCACCGGCGAAAUGCUCAGUAACACGUUGAUAAUCUGCCCUUAAGUCUGGGAUAACCUUGGAAAACUGAGGCUAAUACCGGAUGGGAGAAAUGUUCUGGAAAGAGUUUUCUCUUAAAAGUAAUGCUUAAGGAUGAGUUAGCGGCCGAUUAGGUUGUUGGUGGGGUAAAGGCCCACCAAGCCGAAGAUCAGUAGGGGCCUUGAGAGAGGUAGCCCCGAGAAGGGAACUGAGAUACUGUCCCUAGCCCUACGGGGUGCAGCAGGCGCGAAACCUUUACAAUGCACGAAAGUGUGAUAAGGGAAUCCCGAGUGCUCAUGUUUUUAGCAUGGGCUUUUGUUAAGAGUAAAUAUCUUGGCGAAUAAGUGGUGGGUAAGACGGGUGCCAGCCGCCGCGGUAACACCCGCGCCACGAGUGGCAACCGGUAUUAUUGGGCCUAAAGCGUCCGUAGCCGGCUUGAUGAAUCUUUUGUGAAAUCGUUGUGCUUAACAUGACAGCGUGCAAGAGACACUGUCAAGCUUGGGACCGGGAGGAGUCAGAGGAAUUUCAGGGGGAGCGGUAAAAUGCUAUAAUCCUUGAAAGACCACCUAUGGCGAAGGCAUCUGACCAGAACGGAUCCGACGGUGAGGGACGAAAGCUAGGGGAGCGAACCGGAUUAGAUACCCGAGUAGUCCUGGCUGUAAACUCUGCGAGCUAGGUGUUGUGCAAUCUUCGUGAUUGUGCAGUAUCGGAGCGAAGGUGUUAAGCUCGCCGCCUGGGAAGUAUGGUCGCAAGGCUGAAACUUAAAGGAAUUGGCGGGGGAGCACUACAAGAGGUGCGGCGUGCGGUUUAAUCUAACUCCACACAGAGAAUCUCACCAGAAGCGACGGCAGGAUGAAAGUCAGAUUGAAGGUUUUACUUGACGAGCCGAGAGGUGGUGCAUGGCCGCCGUCAGCUCGUGCUGUAAGGUGUCCAGUUAAGUCUGGUAACGAGCGAGACCUAUAUCCACAAUUGCUAGCGAGUCCUUUGGGAUGAUUGAGCACAUUGUGGGGACUGCCCUAGUAAUAGGGAGGAAGGUGUAGGCAACGGUAGGUCUGUAUGCCCCGAAUCUUCUGGGCUACACGCGCGCAACAAUGGUAGAGACAAUGGGAUACGACUCCGAAAGGAGAAGUUAAGCCUCGAAACUCUAUCUUAGUUCAGAUUGAGGAUUGUAACUCAUCCUCAUGACGAUGGAAUCUCUAGUAAUCGGAUAUCAUCAGUGUCCGGUGAAUACGUCCCUGCUCCUUGCACACACCGCCCGUCAAACCAUUCGAGCAGGGUCUAGAUGAGGUCUAGUUUUUUGAUUAGAUCGAAUCUAGGCUCAGUGAGAGGGGUUAAGUCGUCACAAGGUA
rnacentral:rRNA from 1 species